rnacentral:rRNA from 1 species
UACGGAGGGUGCAAGCGUUAUCCGGAUUCACUGGGUUUAAAGGGUGCGUAGGCGGGCAGGUAAGUCAGUGGUGAAAUCUUCGGGCUUAACCCGGAAACUGCCAUUGAUACUAUCUGUCUUGAAUAUUGUGGAGGUGAGCGGAAUAUGUCAUGUAGCGGUGAAAUGCUUAGAUAUGACAUAGAACACCUAUUGCGAAGGCAGCUCACUGCGCAUAUAUUGACGCUGAGGCACGAAAGCGUGGGGAUCAAACAGG